UAAAAUAUAUGAUCAUUACAAAUCCAAGCAUAAAGCUAAAAAACCAAAUAAGAGAAAAUUUUAGAGUAAUGAGAUAAAAUUGAAAUUUUUUUAAUGCACAUUAUAUUAAUUAUAUGUGUAGUACUAAGGAGAUGAGUCGUUUUACUUUUGAGGUGAACCUUGGGAAAUGAUAUAAUAAUGCUAUUACGUUUGAUUGCAUAGUCGUUUUACAACAUUUCCAAAAAAAUUUACUAAGAAAUAUAAAGUAUACACUUCGAAAUUUUUAAGAAAAAUGAAGAGUUAUUUUAAAAUGUUUGAUAGUAAAAUUAUGGUACAGGUAGACUGGUGGCAGGGAACACUAUUUCUUUGUGGGCUGGGGCAAGAACCUCUUGGCUAGAGAUUCUACCUCUCCGCACACCAGCUUAUAUGAACUACUUUUUGGCAUUGAUUGACGACAUUUGCUUUAUGGGGAAAAAAAUUUAUGAGCAGAGCCAUCUCAAAACUUUGGAUAUUCAACUGGACGUGAGAAAAAGAGUAUACAAUUAUUCAAAGUUGACGAGCUAUUCAUUGGGGAUUGCCCUCCCCUAAAUUCCUUCCCACGUUUAUCAAAUGGUAAUUGAUCACAAAAAGGUUCAAUUCAUUCACAAAUAUGACUCUUCUCUAGUCAAUUGGGAGUGGCGCUCAGCCAUACUCAUUUUAAUCAGAAUUGAAUCUCCUCAUCCCACAGUUCCACGAGAGACCUGUAGGGGCCUUCAUCGCUAAUGAAUUCCAGAGCUGGAACCCCUUUAAAUUGCUGAAUUUGAUCUAUUUUCUGUAUAUCCUCCGCUGUUAGCUCCCAAUCGAAUAUCGCUAGAUUCUCUUUCAUUCUUUCCUUGUUGAAACUCUUCACGACAACACUCACACCUUGUUCGUAUAUCCACCUCAAACAAACCUUCAAAAUCAACACGACCAAAUUCAAAUUGUGGCAAAAACAAUCACCACCAAGUUAAACAAAUCAGUUUUUUUUUUUUUUUGAAAAAAUAAAUUAUGAUCAUGGAGGCCAAGAAAAAAGCACAUUGGAUACCCAGACUUUGUGGGGUAGCUUUUGGAUUCUCAAUCAACACAUACUAUAUCUCCACCGCAACAUUUAAGAAAAAGCAUAUCUUUAUGUCAUUGGUUUUGCAUUAACAGAAGCAGUCCCAUCAAGAUAUGAAAAAGGAAAAAAGAUAGACAAAAUAAAAUAAAAUCUACCAUCAAUUGAUGCAUCCAGUAAAUAUGAAUUGCGAAAAAGGGUCAACUUGUUAGUGAGUUUCAGCCGAACCAGUUAUUCCUAAUUGGAAAAUUUGGAAGGAACUGAUGUAGAAGAAAGCAAGAAGCUGUUGGAUUAUGUCCUUUCAAUCUUUAUGGCAGCACUUCUAUUAUAUACUUAAAAAUGGCAAUUUUUAUGGCUCGAGAAUUUUACCUGAGCAAUCGUUUUGCCUCUUGCUUGGGCAAUUUCUUUCAGGACUUGACAUUCCAUAACUCUGUCACCUCCCCACGGUGUUCCUCUGGCACCCAAAGGAGAGUAGGCCGUGAUGUGGAUUCCUUUCUCUGUACAGAACUCCCUAAGCUUCUUCUGCUGCCAAAGUGGGUUCAUCUCCACCUUCCCAAACAGUUGUUAUGAUUAGUGGUUUUUUUCUUAAAAAGAUUAGUCGAUUUGUUUAUUUCUUGAUACACCCAUGCUUCUCAUCUUAUAAAAAGUUCAACUAUAUGAAAGGAAAAUUCAAUGUUACUGAAGCACAACACUUCCGGCAGAGCUGCCUGAAAUGAAACACUCACUUGAUUGACGGCCGGAGGGAUUGUGGCUAUGCGGAGCAAGUCAUCAAGCUUUUUGCUUGAGAAGUUGCUUACACCUAUUGCUUUGGUGAGACCGAGCUUCUGACAGUCUUCCAGGUCUUUCCAAACGGACGCAUAAUCCAUGGGGAGAAGGUCCUCCUUCUUCACGGGAAACUCAAAAUUUCCAGGCUUCAUGCUUAGUGGCCAAUGAAUGAGAUAGAGAUCAAGGUACUCCAGUUCAAGAUUCCUACAUAAACCAAACCCAAAAUGAAAAAUUAAUAGAGAAGAAAGAUCAAAUAUGCGAAGUAAUUGAUGGUAUAGCUAGAGAAAAGAAUAUGAUAAGAAGUGUUUGGUUUAUUACUUGAGUGUUUGUUGCAGUGUAGGAAGGACGCAGUGGGGGUGUGCUUUGUUUCCCCAAAGCUUUGACGUGACAAAAAGCUCAUCCCGCGAAUUAAUGAGCCCAAUCUGUAAAGCCUUUUUUAUGGCUUCACCAAGGGGUUUCUCGGAGUUGUAAACAGAAGCUGUGUCGAAGUGUCGAUAGCCAACCUUUAUUGCAUGGAGAACAGAGUCUUUCGUUUCCGAAGGGGCAGAACGAUACACAGCUGUGCCCAUGCCCACCAGAGGUAUGGCUUUUCCUGUUGAUCCCAGGGCCUUCUCCGGAAUGCUUCCCAUUUUCUCUACUCUAUCUCGUGAAAAUUAUCACUUCCUCUGAGAUCUAUAUAUAUAGGCAUAUAAUUCCCAAACCAUCAGUAUCCGUUCCUAUCACAUACUAGCAGCGCAUCAGUCUUAAAAAUUAAUCAAUACUUACCGUUGAAUGACCAACACUAUCUGACGACCGCAGUGAUCUCACACAUUUUGGAUUAUUCAUACAUGGCCGCUAAGUCACCACAGCAGUUGCAAUCCUGUUAGGCGCAAUGACCAUUUUAUUUUCUCUUUCGUACGUAGGUGGCCUUUUAUGUUGGGCGCCCUCGUAUGUGAGGGAGUAGGCCCAUAUGUUGGGAUCAAGUCAGUUACAUUAAAAAAAACCGGAGACAAGAGAAGAGAAGAAAAAUGCUAUUUGCUCAAAUUUCAUCAAUAAGUCGAUCUCGCUUCAUCUGUUGUCUAAUCAAAUUAAAAUUUGGAGGAAAGGUUUAAAACUCAAGUAUCUACAAUUUGAACGGUGGAGAUCAGAUUUUGAAUUCGAAAAAUUGAUGUUAUUGCCCAUAAACAGUAACGACGUUUUUAGUAUACUUCCUCUAAUUUUUCUUUAUUUUUGUCAAAAGAAAUUAUAUAAUCCAAGGCUAUAUGUGAUUUUGAUGUAUUUGAUAAUCUUUAAAUAUUAUUCUAAAAAAGACAGAUGUAACUCAUUAUUGUUAAUAAUGGAUGUUUGAAUUGGAAUAAAUCCCGUAAUUUUUUCUUUCAAAUUGGGGGGUUUUCCAUGUAAAAAUUUUGAUGUCUAAUUUAUUUUCUUGUUACAUGAAUUUAUUUAUUUAUUACUGUUAAUUGAUAUUGCCUAUUUAGUUUUACCUAAAGAAAUGAUAGAAAAAUUACGAUGUUUAUUGAAAUGAUAGAAAAAUUACGAUGUUUAUUGAAAUACUGUCAAUUCACCCUAACAUUUUAAUUGCUUAGUUUAUUCAGAAAAAGUUCACGGCUUUACUUGCAUUGCACAGAACACUCAAUCAUUUUGUCAUCGGCCCCACCCCAUAAUAAUAAUAAUAAUAACCAAUGCUCAUUACAUUUCCAACUUGUAAGUGGACGGAGUCAAGAUUAAGAGAAAGUGAUGUAUCAGAUACUGGCUCCGGGUUGAAGAUACAACGAUCCACCUCCUCAGCUAGUAUUGGAAAAUCAUGAAAGCUUUUAAAUGGCCGUAAUAAAGUGGAGAUAAAUGAUGAUUCCUUGCACGUUUAUGUAUAAAAUUUAUUUUUAAAAAAAGCAUUAACCACACCUACCAAAAAUCUUUUUAUUCAAAAUCUUUCUAAAAAAAUAAAUAUAUAUUAAAUAAUGAAAUAAUUGUGUUUUGAAUCUAAUUGAGCCCAAAAAUUAAGAUUUGGUCCAUAAAAAUUGUAUAAUUGAUGAAAAAGAUAUAAAAUGUGAAGAGACCAAUAUACCAUUCAAAACUAUUUUGAGUAUUUUUUAUCACAAUGUUUGAUAAACUUUUUUAUCUUAAUUUUUUUUAAUAAUUAUUUUGAAAAUUUAUUAUUUUUAGAAAACUAUUUUUUAAAAAAAAUAUAUUCUAAAAAUAUAUCAUUUAAAAAAAUAAUUUUGACAUACUUUUAGUUAUUUUUUAUAUACAUAAUUUUAAAUAUAUAUUUUCCAAGAUGUUUAAUUUUUAAAUAAUAAUAAUAAUUUAUUUUUAUUUUUUUGGAAAAUGAUGUAUUUUUUUCCAAAUCACUAAAUUAAAUUAAAUUUUAUUAAGGUUUAUAAAAGGAAUAAAAUUUAAAUUAAUGUUUUUCUACUCUUUUUUUUUUCAUAGUCAAUAAAUAUCAUUUUUGAAAAGAUAAAAAGUUCAUAUCUUUGUUCUCAAUUUUCACACUUUCUCUAAGUCUUGGGCUUAAAUGGUGAACUUAUAUGGACCAAAACUUAAUUUUUAGGCCCAAUUAGAUCCAAAACACAAUUGUCCCUUGAAUAAUUUAUUAAAGUAUCAAUCCAUGAAAAUCAAUCAUUGUUAAAUGUAUUUACAGCAACAUCUUUAAAAUAUAAAUAUAAUAAUUGGAAUAAAUUUAUUAAAGCCUCAAUUGAUAAAAAUAAACCGUGGUUAGAUGUAUUUAUUCCAAAUCUCUAUGAAUAAAAAUAAUCUUAAUUUUUUUAUGCUUUAAGGGAUUUGAAAAAACAAAAGGAGGUAAAAAAUAAAUGGUAAAGUUGUAUGGGAACAUUGUAAAAUUUUGAUUAGUAGUCACCACAAUGAGAGUUGGUUAGCUUUCCCAAGUAUUGGCCAAGGUGGUUCUUAACUAGGAGGAAUUUAAUUCUGUGUGAUUUUGAAAGUUGGAAUCCAUCUUUAUAAGGUUGUGGAAAUGCUUAGAAACCUAAGAUAUAAUUUGGGUAUAUUUUAUUUGUGAAAAAAUUGAGGUAAAAUAUAAAGGAAAAAAAUAUUGGAAAAAAAGAAAAAAAGAAAAAGUGAAUAAAGAAAAUAAAAUAUAGAAUUAAAGUUAAUACAUUAUUUUUGUAUAUUACUUUAAAUUUAUUUUACCUAUUUUAAUUUUUCUACACAAAAAUUAAAUAAUUUAAAAAUACCUAAAAUUUUAAUUUAUUUUAAUUAUAUUUGAUUUCUUUUAAUAUUUUUUUUAUUUGAUAACUAAACAUAAGAAAAUAAUUUUCCUUAGGAUUUUUUUUUCUUUCCAAUCAAAUAUAACCUUAAUAAAGCUUUUAAAAGCAAUUUUCAAAUAUAUUUUUUAGAAUGGUUCUUUAAAUUAAAUAAUUCUCCAUUAUUUCUUUAUAUACAAUACAAAAGUCGUAAAAUAUUCUCCAUAUUUUCAAUUAUUUCUCAUAAUAUUUUAUAAAAAUAAACAUUCAAUUUAUUCCAAAGAAACAAGAUACUUGUAGAAUAAAUUAUGAAAAAUUUAUUUUCAAUUAAAAAUUUAUUGAAGGUGUUUUUUGAGUUGGAAAUUGUUUUAAAUUAUUUUCAAAAACAAUAUUCAAAUAAGGUCCAAGUGCAUGAACAAUAACAUCAACAUUGAGAUUCAAAAUUAGAAAUUUGAUAUUGAGUAUUAAUUUAGUUCUGACAUUAAUAAAAAUUCAAGGAGCUUUCUAAGGAUUGCAAAGGAUGAUGUGAAAAUAACCCGCACAUUUGGAAAUUAUAAGUAUUAUAACUAAAUGUUAAAAAUAAAACAAAUUUAUUGGAAGGCAAUUGGCCACAUAAUAUGAAAAUAUCGUUUCAUGUGCACAAUUCCAUUCCCAAUAACAAUUUUAAUCAUACUUAACAAAAUAAUUAAAAUAAAAUUUAAGAGUUUUCUAUAUAUAUAUAUAUAUAUAUAUAGUAGAAUUGUUUUAGACCAAAAAAUAUUUUACAACCACCCAUAUUUUAUAUAUAAUAUAGAGUAUAGGUAUAGAUUUUUUCCCUUUUGAAAUUAUAUUUAAUCAACAGCUAUAUUAAUAAUCAAAAUAGUUAACAUAUUUUAAAAAAAAAUGUUGAAUAAACUUUAGCAAUAUGUUUGAAAAAAAAAAUAUUAAUAUUCAAUUUUUUUUUAAAAAAAUUAUAAUUAUAAUUCAUAUUGAAAAAAAUAAGGUUAAUUGAAGAGUUAUGCUCAAACAUUUUUAGCAAUUAUAUUUAUUUUUCAAUGGUACUCUUUCAAAAAAAAUUUAUUCUCAUGCAUUACUAAGUUAAAAUAUAUUAAAAGAAAUAAAUCUUUAGGCCAAUCUUUAUAUAGAGAGUUUCCUAUUAGUACUUGAAUUUAACUUUAAAAAUUUUAAACAUUUAAAUAAUAAAUUUGUUGUAUACUUCCAACCCAUUUAAUAUUUAUUAACAUUUUACAAGUCUUAUUUAUGGUGAACCAAAAAUUGUUUUUAAUAUUCAUUAAUGAUUUAGUUUAAAACCCUAUUUUUAUUUUACGAAAAAAAUAAAAAAAUUGAGAUCAAAUAUUUGUAAAAUAUCUAUAGAAACUACUAAUACUGGAAGCAUCAUUACCUACAUUGUAAUUAUUUAUUAUUCCCAUAUAUUUAUAUAUAAAUAGUUUUAUAACUCCUAUUGAUUUAUUCUUUUUACUUCUCAAUAAUUAUUACCUACUUUGCAAAAAUAUUCUUCUCUGAAAUUCUUUCUUUUCUCUUACUAUAUGGGCAAACAAAAAAAUAUUUAUUAUUCCUCCCACCAGUCUUUCUCUUCAAUUUUUUCAUUGUUGUCUCAAUGUUUAAAUACACUCCAAUUGUCUUAAAAAAAACUGUGAUAAAAAACCAAUAUUUAACUUACAAGAUGAAUCCAAAAUGUACUAUGAUGCUACACAUAGGUAUCAUGAACAAUAUGAGACUAGACCUAAGGACAUAUGAAACUCCUUUUACUAAAAAAGAAUCAAUCAAAGCCUCAUACAUUACCUACCUCCUUUUACUAAAAAGGAAUCAAUCGAAAAACAUUCUCUACCUAAUCAUUGGGAUGGUAUAAAGUUUGCUAUGGAAUAAAAGAUUAAACCAAGAAAAGUGAAUUUUUUUUUUUUUCAUGUAGCUUGUGAGCUUGAACUAGUAGAGGGAUGACCUAUUUUUGAUAUGUCCAAAGUGAAUUGUUACAUUAUUAAUACAUAUCAAUAAAUUUAAAUCUUUAUAAUGCAAGACACAAGAGAAAGGAUUGUGGUUAAGGAAGGUUGGACUUCAAGAAGUGCAAAAACAAAUGAAGUUCUCCAUAAAAAAUUUAAAAUAAUAGAAGCUAACAGAAAAUGUUUAAGUAACUCUAAGUUGUUGUCAUCGGGUUUUCCUAUGAUAGAUAACUAUGUUUUUACACAUAUUUUUCAUGCAUGUACUCUAGCCUUAAUGAUUUAUUUUUUGUUGAAUUUUAGUGUAAUUAAUUUUCAUGUUAUUGAUUCUUCUCUUUUUCUAUCUUAAAGAAAAAAAAUUAUAUUUGUGUAUAAAAGAGAAAUAAUAGAGUCAUGACUCAUUUUAAACCAUUUUUAAUAUAUUAUUUUUUGGUACAUAGUUCUGUUUUUGAGUUUCAAUUAUUUUCAAAAAUUGCUAUACUCGUUCAAAAAAAUCUAAAACCUUAAAUUUCACUUGAUUUAAAGAGUAUGAUUUUAUCUCAUCCCAUCCAUAUUAUAUAUAAUAUUAAAUAAAAAAUAUUUUAUUUUAUAUAGACAUAUAGUAAAAGAAAUAUUUUCAUAAAAAUAAAGUAUACAAAUUUAUAAUAUUAAUUUAUUUAUAAAUAAUAUUUAUUUUUUAUAUAUUAAAAAUAAAAAAAUGUUUUUUUUAAAACCGAACUAGUGAUCAAAUCGAAAAAAUUAUCAAUUCACAGUUCACAAGUCGAAUCCGUGACAUUAUAAAUAUAUAUUUUAUAUAUUAUUAAAAUUAAAAAUAAUUAUAAAAAAUAAAAAUAAUAAAUUCUACUAAGUCAUCCUAUAUCAUAUUUCUAAUACAAUGAUAAUAUAAAUCAAUAUAACACUUUUAUCAAAAAAUUACUAUCCUAUAUCCACAAAUGCUCAAUAAACUAACAAUGAUAAAAAUUAUUUAAAAAUUAGAAAAUUAGUUUCAAAUAAUAAAUUUAGAUUAAAAUAGGAAUUUUAAUUUAAAAUUAGAAAGAUUAAUUUAAAAUUUAAAAUUUUAUUUUUAAAUCAUAAACUUAUUUUAAAAUAAAAAAUUAUUUAUUUAAAAUAUAAGGACACUUUAUUUUCAAAAAUUUAUUUAAUAUUUUCAUUAAUUUAGAUUAAAAGCAUAAAUUUUAAAAAUCAUAAAGUCAAAAGAAUUACAAAUGUAAAAAUUACAAUAAAUAAGGAAACGAGGAAAUAAGGUAAUAGAGUAAAAGAUCUAAAUCAUAAAGUCAAAAGAAUUACAAAUCUAAAAAUUAAGGUAAAUAAGGAAAUAAGGUAAUAGAAUAAAAGAAAUAAACAAAAAUCGGACUUAUGCCCGUCGGAGCGGCCUCGUAGGUCGGCGAUGUCGCGUUGGCUGGGCUGGAGGUGGGAGUUUGACGGGAGCAAUAGCACGCGAGCUGGAAAUGGUGGGGUUGGUUUGUGGAGUCCGGUGGACUGUUUUGGUGUGGGAGGGGGCUACGAUUGCGGAGGGGAGAACGAGCUGCGAGGCAACGACUGAGGGGUGGUUUGUGGAGUCUUGUGGACUGUUUUGCUGUGGGCAGGGCAACAACUGUUUUGGGGAGGGGGGUGGUGUGGAGGGGAGAGAACGGGCUGGAAAAAGUGGGCGGGGCAACGAUUAUGGGAGAGGGAAAACAGGUUGGAAGAACGAAAAAGAAAGGGAAGGCAAAAAACAAAAAGUAAAAUUUUCAUUUCAACCGUUCUAUUCAUCAAAAACCACAAAAACCAAUCGGGUCAACUGGAUCACCGAUUUGACUGUCGGUAGUCGGUACCAGUGAUUUGAGGCUGGUUUAGAGGCUGGCCGGUUCAAAAGGGUGAAUCGAGACCGGACUGGUGACCAACUGACAGUCAGAUAAGUUGGACCCGUUGAUCCGAUCCGAUUUUUAAAACGCUAAAAAAAAUUCACAACAUUUUCAAAAAAUUACAAAGAAAUAUAAAAGAUACACUAAGAAAUUUUUAAGAAAAAUGAGGAGCUAUUUUAAAAUAUUUGAUAAUAAAAGUAUGGUACAGGUAGAGUGGUGGCUGGGAGAACUAUUUCUGUGCUAAAGGGGAACCUCUUGGCUAGAUAUUCCACCUCUCCUAGCACCGGCUUAUAUGAGCUAUUUUUUGGCAUUGAUUGACGACAUUUGCUUUAUGGGGAAAAAAAUUUAUGAGCAGAGCCAUAUGAAAAUUAUGGAUGUUCAAUUAGCUGUGAGAAAAAGAGCACACAAUCAUUCAAAGGUGACGAGCUAUUCAUUGGGGAUAGCCCUCCUCUAAAUUUCUUCCCAAUUUUAUCAAAUAGUAAUUGAUCGAUCACAAAAGGUUCAAUUCAUUCACAAAUAUAACUAGCUAUUUUCAAGUCAAUUGG
rnacentral:lncRNA from 1 species